rnacentral:rRNA from 1 species
CGCCGCGUGANCGAUGAAGGCCUUCGGGUCGUAAANNUCUUUCAGCGGGGACUAUAGUGAAGGUACCCGCAGAAGCAGGAGCGGCUAACUACGUGCCAGCAGCCGCGGUAAUACNUAGGGUCCAAGCGUUGUUCGGAAUUACUGGGCGUAAAGCGAGUGUAGGCGGUUCGUUAGGUCNANUGUGAAAUCCCCCGGCUCAACUGGGAGGGUGCAGUCGAAACCUNCGGGCUAGAGUACNGAAGGGGAAAGUAGAAUUCCUGGUGUAGCGGUGAAAUGNGUANAUNUCNGGAAGAAUACCGGUGGUGAAAACGGCUUUCUAGGCCGUUACUGACNCUGAAACUCGAAAGCGUGGGGAGCAAACANGAUUAAAUACCCUGGNANUCCACNCCCUAAACNAUGCAUACUUGGUGUGGGCCCUUCAGUGNGUCCGUGCCGGAGCUAACNCAUUAAGUAUNCCGCCUGGGGAGUACGGNCGCAAGGCUGAUACUC